GAUGAAGAACGUAUCGAAAUGCGAUAAGUAAUGUGAAUUGCAGAAUUCAGUGAAUCAUCGAAUCUUUGAACGCACAUUGCGCCCGCCAGUAUUCUGGCGGGCAUGCCUGUUCGAGCGUCAUUUCAACCAUCAAGCCCUGCUUGCGUUGGGGUCCUGCGGCUGCCCGCAGGCCCUGAAAACCAGUGGCGGGCUCGCUAGUCACACCGAGCGCAGUAAUACAUCUCGCUUUGGGCGUGCGGCGGGUUCUUGCCGUUAAACACCCCCUUUUUACCAAGGUUGACCUCGGAUCAGGUAGGAAUACCCGCUGAACUUAAGCAUAUCAAUAAGCGGAGGA
rnacentral:misc_RNA from 1 species